rnacentral:rRNA from 1 species
GUGAGGAAUAUUGGACAAUGGAUGGAAAUCUGAUCCAGCCAUGCCGCGUGCAGGAAGACGGCCCUAUGGGUUGUAAACUGCUUUUAUACGGGAGCAAUAAGGUCUAUGCAUAGAUUGAUGAGAGUACCGUAUGAAUAAGCAUCGGCUAACUCCGUGCCAGCAGCCGCGGUAAUACGGAGGAUGCGAGCGUUAUCCGGAUUUACUGGGUUUAAAGGGUGCGUAGGCGGCUUUGUAAGUCAGCGGUGAAAUUUUGCAGCUUAACUGUAAAAGCGCCGUUGAUACUGUGAAGCUAGGAUUUGGUUGCUGUGGGCGGAAUGUGUGGUGUAGCGGUGAAAUGCAUAGAGAUCACACAGAAUAUCGAUUGCGAAGGCAGCUCACAAAGCCAAUAUUGACGCUGAGGCACGAAAGUGUGGGGAUCAAACAGGAUUAGAAACCCUGGUAGUCC